UACGUAGGGCGCAAGCGUUAUCCGGAAUUAUUGGGCGUAAAGAGCUCGUAGGCGGUUUGUCGCGUCUGCUGUGAAAACCCGAGGCUCAACCUCGGGCCUGCAGUGGGUACGGGCAGACUAGAGUGGCGGUAGGGGAGAUUGGAAUUCCUGGUGUAGCGGUGGAAUGCGCAGAUAUCAGGAGGAACACCAAUGGCGAAGGCAGAUCUCUGGGCCGUAACUGACGCUGAGGAGCGAAAGCAUGGGGAGCGAACAGG
rnacentral:rRNA from 1 species